rnacentral:rRNA from 1 species
UGCAGUCGAGGGGUAACGGGGAGCUUGCUCCGCCGACGACCGGCGCACGGGUGCGCACCGCGUAUGGAACCUACCUUGUACAGGGGAAUAGCCUUUGGAAACGAAGAUUAAUGCCCCGUGGCACCACGCCCCGGCAUCGGGAUGUGGUUAAAGCCUUCGGGCGGUACAAGAUGGCCAUGCGUCCCAUUAGCUUGUUGGUAAGGUAACGGCUUACCAAGGCUACGAUGGGUAGGGGCCCUGAGAGGGGGAUCCCCCACACUGGUACUGAGACACGGACCAGACUCCUACGGGAGGCAGCAGUGAGGAAUAUUGGACAAUGGAGGAGACUCUGAUCCAGCCAUGCCGCGUGCAGGAAGAAUGCCCUAUGGGUAGUAAACUGCUUUUAUACAGGAAGAAAAAGAGCUACGUGUAGCUUACUGACGGUACUGUAAGAAUAAGGACCGGCUAACUCCGUGCCAGCAGCCGCGGUAAUACGGAGGGUCCGAGCGUUAUCCGGAAUUAUUGGGUUUAAAGGGUCCGUAGGCGGGCCGAUAAGUCAGGGGUGAAAGUUUGCAGCUCAACUGUAAAAUUGCCUUUGAUACUGUUGGUCUUGAGUUAUAGUGAAGUUGCCGGAAUAUGUAGUGUAGCGGUGAAAUGCAUAGAUAUUACAUAGAACACCGAUUGCGAAGGCAGGUGACUAACUAUAUACUGACGCUGAUGGACGAAAGCGUGGGGAGCGAACAGGAUUAGAUACCCUGGUAGUCCACGCCGUAAACGAUGGAUACUAGCUGUCCGGAACCUUGAGUUCUGGGCGGCCAA